rnacentral:rRNA from 1 species
AAUCAACGCUGGCGGCGCGCUUAACACAUGCAAGUCGAACGAGAAAGGGAGCAAUCCCGAGUAAAGUGGCGCACUGGUGAGUAACACGUGGAUAUCUACCUCCCGGUGGGGAAUAACCUGGGGGAAACCUGGGCUAAUACCGCAUCCGCUUGAGAAAGGAAAGCCCGCGAGGGCGCCGGGAGAGGAGUCCGCGGUCGAUUAGCUAGUUGGCAGGGUAAAGGCCUACCAAGGCGAAGAUCGAUAGCCGGCCUGAGAGGGCACACGGCCACACUGGCACUGAAACACGGGCCAGACUCCUACGGGAGGGCAGCAGUGGGGAAUCUUGCACAAUGGGGGAAACCCUGAUGCAGCGACGCCGCGUGGA